rnacentral:rRNA from 1 species
UUUUUUAAUUGAAAACUUGUAUGAAGGGUUUAACGAAAUAUUAACUGUUUCAAAAAAAUUUAUAUAGAAAUUAAUUUUUUAGUUAAAAAGCUAAAAUAUUAUUAAGGGACGAGAAGACCCUAUAGAGUUUUAUAUUAUUUUUUUUUAUAAUUUAUUUAUAAUAAUAAAAAUUUUAACUAAUUUAAUAUUUUGUUGGGGUGACAGUAAAAUUUUUAUAUCUUUUAUUAUUAUUUUUCAAUGAUUUUUGUUUUCUUGAUCCAUUUUUAAUGAUUAAAAGAUUAAAUUACCUUAGGGAUAACAGCGUAAUUUUUUUGUAGAGUUCUUAUCAAUAAAAAAUUUUGC